GCUAACUACGUGCCAGCAGCCGCGGUAAUACGUAGGUGGCGAGCGUUGUCCGGAAUUACUGGGCGUAAAGGGCGCGUAGGCGGCCUGUUAAGUCAGAUGUGAAACCCCCAGGCUCAACUUGGGGAUUGCAUAUGAAACUGAUGGGCUCGAGUGUCGGAGAGGAAAGCGGAAUUCCUAGUGUAGCGGUGAAAUGCGUAGAUAUUAGGAGGAACACCAGUGGCGAAGGCGGCUUUCUGGACGAUAACUGACGCUGAGGCGCGAAAGCGUGGGGAGCAAACAGGAUUAGAUACCCUUGUAGUC
rnacentral:rRNA from 1 species